GGCGAGCGCAUCUAGACGAUGCACGGCUUGCCCUUUCGAAAGGGCGAUACGAACGUGUCGUGCAAACGUGGCCGGCAGCCUCGGGGUGCGUGCGGUGAGUUCAGUCACCGCUGGAGGUCGGCUGGUAGAAGGGUCGGAGAUGGGAGCCGUGACCACGUCUCGGGACGCUGUUGCUCUUCAGGAGGAGCCACUCGUGUGUCCCACUGGCCAGUGCGCACCACCAUCGUCGAAGGUGCAGGGUCGUCAAGAGAUGGAGGAGGAUACGCGGGCGCUCACCGCCCCCGAUGGCCGGUCUCCGUGGCGCUCUCGUCUCGUGCUGUCCGUGUGCUCGGCCUGCAUGAGCGGGGCGUCGUUUGGCCUUUCGCUCAGCUACUCGUCGCCGGCACUGCCCGACAUCCGGCGCCGCAUGCCCUUCAGCGACAACCAGGGCGACUGGUUCGGCUCUCUGGUCACGCUGGGAGCGCUUUUCGGUGGACUCGUCGGAGGCCAGCUGCUCAGUAGACUUGGUCGAAAGGACACCAUCAUCUUCUCGUCACUUGGCUUCGCGAUCGGCUUCCUGUUGAUCGAGGCUACGUCGCUACCAAUCGUCAUGUUCCUUGGCCGCUUCUUGACGGGCGUUUCUACGGGCAUCACCGCAGUGGCGUUGCCCGUGUUCGUCUCCGAGGUGAGCCCGCCCCAGAUACGCGGCGUGCUCAACACCAUGUGCACCAUCGCCAUCACGUCGGGCGUGCUGCUCGCCUACGUGCUGGGCAAGUGGCUCAACUACCGGUGGCUCGCCACAGCCUGCAUUGUGCCCCCGCUGGUGGUGGUCAUCUCGAUGCCUUUCGUGGCGGACUCGCCGAGGUGGCUGAUCCACGCUGGUCGCUCCGAGGAGGCUCUAAAGGCGCUGAAAUUUUAUGAGGGCGAGGACAGGGCUCGCGAGGAAUUUGAGAGCCUGCAAGCGGCGAGCACGGCAGACGAGAAGUUUUCCCUGGCUGAAUUCAAGCUUCCGUACGUGUACAAGCCAUUCCUGUGCGUCUUGCUGGGCAUGUUCCUCCAGCAGUUCUCGGGCAUCAGCAUCAUGCUACUGUACACGCAAGACAUCUUCGAGUCUGCCGGCUCGACCAUAGAGUCCACCGACUGCACCAUCAUUGUCGGUGUUGUCCAAGUGGCCAGCGGCUUCAUGGCCACGCUGGCCAUUGACCGUUUGGGUCGCAAAAUACUGCUGCUCAUGUCUUGCUUCGUGUCCUCGAUCAGCCUCAUCCUUCUUGGGAUUUCAUAUCAUUUCAAGGACACUCAGGGUCAGGUGUUCCUGGCUUCAUACGGCUGGCUUCCACUGCUUGCUCUCUGCGGCUUCAUGGUCGGCUACUCAGUGGGCCUCGGACCGCUGCCGUGGAUGCUGAUGGGCGAGAUGCUGCCACUGCGCGUCAAGGGCUUCGCGACGGGCGUGUCGACUGCCUUCAACUUCGGCUGCGGUGCCCUGAUCGCUAGGGAAUAUCACAGCACGAUGCGGCUGCUCGGCAACGACGGCAUCUACUGGUUCUACGGCACUGUCAUGGCCCUGGGCUUUGUUCUGGUGCUAAUAUUUAUUCCUGAGACCCGCGGCAAGACUCUGGAGGAGAUUGAAGUGCAGUUCGGCAAAAACUCUGACAACUCCGCGGAUUCUAGAGAACAGCCAGGCCUCGUGAACGCAUAGCAUUUUGCAUCGUGCUUGGGGAACUGGGAAUACCUUUUCUGGACAGUGUCUAAGAAGUGCUGCGCCAAUCUGACCUGCUUCGCCAAGCUGUUCCUGCCCGGCAAUUUGUGUGUGGAAUGCCAAAUUUAGCCGAGUUUUAUCAUCAUCUGAGCAACACGGGUGAGCUACACAAAAGGCGCAACCGCGUCCAUAUCAAGUUAGUUCAGUGACAUCGUAUUUCGGUUCAUGCAUGGAUCCUGUUAAGGUGGUGUUUGUGUGUAUACCUCAUUAUGCGACUCUAUAUAUCUUUUAACAGCAACAAACCAUGUAAACUGAAAAAAUAAAAUAAAGUUAGUUUCACCGGUGAA
rnacentral:misc_RNA from 1 species